CACUACGGAAUAGCUCCGGGAAACUGGAAUUAAUACCGUAUACGCCCUCCGGGGGAAAGAUUUAUCGGUGAAAGAUCGGUCCGCGUUAGAUUAGAUAGUUGGUGGGGUAAUGGCCUACCAAGUCUACGAUCUAUAGCUGGUCUGAGAGGAUGAUCAGCCACACUGGGACUGAGACACGGCCCAGACUCCUACGGGAGGCAGCAGUGGGGAAUCUUGCACAAUGGGCGAAAGCCUGAUGCAGCCAUGCCGCGUGAAUGAUGAAGGCCUUAGGGUUGUAAAAUUCUUUCGCUAGGGACGAUAAUGACGGUACCUAGUAAAGAAGCCCCGGCUAACUUCGUGCCAGCAGCCGCGGUAAUACGAAGGGGGCUAGCGUUGUUCGGAAUUACUGGGCGUAAAGCGCGCGUAGGCGGACUAUCAAGUUGGAUGUGAAAUCCCAGGGCUCAACUCUGGAACUGCAUUCAAAACUGGUAGUCUAGAGGCCAGGAGAGGUCAGUGGAAUACCGAGUGUAGAGGUGAAAUUCGUAGAUAUUCGGUGGAACACCAGUGGCGA
rnacentral:rRNA from 1 species